rnacentral:tRNA from 1 species
AUUAGCAUGUCAGAGUAAUGAGUCAGAUUUAAGUUUUGUGUAUGGUAGUUCCUGCUAAUU